AGUAUUUUGACUGUGCAAAGGUAGCAUAAUCAUUAGUCUUUUAAUUGAAGGCUGGAAUGAAUGGUUGGACGAAAUAUUAACUGUUUCAUAUUAAAUUAUUAUAGAAUUUUAUUUUUUAGUAAAAAAGCUAAAAUUUAUUUAAAAGACGAGAAGACCCUAUAAAUCUUUAUAUUUAUUAAGUAUUAAUUUAUUAGAUUAUAAAUAAUUUUUAAUUAAAAUAAUAUUUUAUUGGGGUGAUAUUAAAAUUUAAUAAACUU
rnacentral:rRNA from 1 species